rnacentral:sRNA from 1 species
AGAAUCUUCCCUCUCCUCCCUCUGUCUCCUCAUUGCCACAGCCAACCGGCUCCCACAUAUCUGCACACACUUAAAUACAAAGGCCGGGAAGGGUCAGACCACCAUCCGGGUACUCUAAGUCCUCCCUCCCCCUCCUCCUUCACCCCCAAGUGUUUCCCACGACUGCCCUCCCCCACCUCUAGCUGACCAUGGCAUCAGAGGCAGAGAAAACAUUCCAUCGGUUUGCUGCGUUUGGAGAAUCAUCAAGCAGUGGCACUGAAAUGAACAACAAGAACUUCUCCAAGCUGUGCAAAGACUGUGGCAUCAUGGAUGGCAAGACAGUCACCUCCACGGAUGUGGACAUCGUGUUCAGCAAAGUCAAGUGAGGAGCCAAAAAUAUGGAGGUGGGGGUGAGAAGAACCUGCGAGGUAGUUGGCCACGGAAGGGUUCAUGUGGUGGAACAUUUGCAGUGGGCCUACCAAGCACCACAGGGUACCUGGCGCUGUGCUAUUCUUUGUCUUCAAGACACUCACUGAUUGAUAGGACAAAAGAGGCCAAAUCUGAGUGAUGCAAGAGUUGGACCUUGGAAGGUAGUGCAUUCAUGCUCCAAAGUUUCUGGAUUUCUGUCUAACUGACCAGGGCCAAGAACGCCCGAACCAUCACGUUUCAACAGUUCAAAGAGGCAGUGAAGGAACUGGGCCAGAAGCGCUUCAAAGGGAAGAGUCCAGAUGAAGUCCUGGAGAACAUUUAUGGACUCAUGGAGGGCAAAGACCCAGCCACCACUGGCGCUACUAAAGCAACAACAGUGGGUGCAGUGGACCGUUUGACAGACACCAGCAAGUACACCGGCACCCACAAGGAGCGCUUUGAUGAGAGUGGCAAGGGCAAGGGCAUUGCGGGACGGGAAGAGAUGACUGACAACACAGGCUAUGUGAGUGGUUACAAGGGUUCUGGCACCUAUGAUAAGAAGACCAAGUAGAGAGGAGCUUCAUCUUAGCCUGCUAGCCCCCUGACCCUGCAUGUUUAACACCAGGGAGCUUGGAAAACAAUAAACAUCUGUGUGUGCAGCAGCCAAAAUCUCUGACUGUGAGGGACAGAUGAGCCUACUAGUGUAGAGAGAGGGAGAAGAGGCAGCACGGGAGGGUGGGUUCUCAACCACACACCCUUCACUCUGCUUAGCCUUAUGCCUACCAGCCAUCAGUUAGCAUUCCUCCUCAACAGCUGCUUCCAAGAACAGGAUGGAAGAAUAUAUUUGGAGUAAAGAGAUGAACCAGAUGUGGAGGUAAAAGUAUCUACUACUUGUGUUCACACAUUACUGAUAUCCACCUCUCCACCCCCACCCCUCAAAAGGGUGUAGCAAUUCCUCAUGUGAUGGACUAUGACUAUAUCACAUAUUAGAUCCUUCCCUGUCCCUCCACCUUCCUCAUCUGUUGCAAUUCAGGUUUUUUGGGUGGAGGAGUAGAAGCCAGCUAAGGUUGCCUGACUUCUAUUACAAAUUUGUUCCAGAGCUGGGGUAAGGGGAGAGUCUAUUUUCAACACCCAGCCCAGAACUAAGUUUUACCCCACAUCACCUCCAUCAUGGGGCACAUGGGACAGAAGAGCUUACUGACUGCUAAGGGUAGCUCAGGAAGAUGGCCAGAUGAGGCAGGCUGCCAGGAUUCCAAGAGCAAGAGUUCUGGUGCACUGAAGAAAAAGCAAUUAAAUCACAACAGAGUCA